UUUGAUUAAUUUUUGUUUAUUUUUGGUUAGUUUUAUUCAAAUUCAAUUCAUCUUUGGUUGUUGAAAAGCAAUUGUUACUUGUAAUUUUGUCAUAUCUGAUAUGAUUUUUCAAUUGAAUUAUUGAUUCGUCCUCUAUAUCUAUGCAUCAAUAAUUAUAGUGUUAUAAUGCUUUUGGUUUGCUUUUGUCCAUUCUUUUGUCCAUUUUUGAUUUUUGUUCUUCACAUACAUAAUUGAGGGGUUUCUUUUCCCUGACAUUUUUUUUAGAAUUUUGAUUCAAAAUGAAAUUAGUGGUACUAAAUUGUAUAAUCAGGUAUAAUUGUUAUUUUUUGAUUAUGUACUAAUAAGUUGAUUUUGUGAUGGAAAUCAGAACCACUACAAAUUUUAAAAACAGAUCAACUUGUAGUUAAAAAUUAUGAGUGCUAAACAUCCAUUUUAGUGUAUGAUGUUUCUAUGGGGUGCAAUAAUGAAUUAUACUACUGAUUACAUGGCAAUUUACUACUACAUACACUUUGGUAUUUAUUUCUCAUGUGAUUUGUGACUCUGGGAGUUUGCAUUGGAUUUCAGAAUAGUGAUGCCAAGAUUUGAUAUAGUUGGUGUAAUGUUAGAGGUGUUGUCAAAGUCCACUUGCUUGGUCAAUGGGUACAUCACUUUGCAUAAUCUUUUUGUUAGUUAAGAACUGAGUUGAAGACUACUUAUUAUCAACUAUGAAAUGAGAGGAUUACUCCAUGCUCGAUCAGUAAUUUAGUGGCUUAAAUUUGUUUUUUUGUUUACGAGUUGAUAUUUAUUUAGAUAAUAAUUGAAAAUUCCUGUGUAGGAACCAAUACAUGAAAUGGGUCUUGCUAGCUUUUUGCAGUAUGACACAUCUUUGUGUAAUCAAUGAGAUCCUUCAUAUUUGUUAGAGAAAGUUAGGGAUAGUUAAUUUAUUUUUGGUUUUAUUUGAUUUCAACUGAAUUCUCAAUGGGGAGUAUUUAAGACUGCCACCUGUGGCUUCAAGGUCUUUCAUAUUACUCCAUGCUCGAUCAAUAAUCAAAGAGAUCUUUCAUAUUUGCAAACUAAUUCCUAUUUUAGGGUCUAUUUAAGAUUGCCACCAGUGGCUUCUAGUCUUCAAAUAAAGUAGGAGAAGGCAGCUUUGGCUCUGUCUACAAGGUAGCAAUAAUUUAAGUUAUUUAACUAUUUGACUAAGAUAGCCAGUUCGGUAGAAAUAAGUCUUUUUGAUUAGCUUAACGCAGUUUUUUAUUGGAUAUUUUAAGGCAUACCUCAAAGAUGAAUCAACCGUGGCAGUCAAAGUACUUUCAGUUGAACUCGAGUCACUGCAAGGAGAACGAGAAUUUAUCACUGAAAUCACAACAUUAUCUAACAUCAAACAUGAAAAAUCUUAUCACUCUUAAAGGAUGUUGCAGAUCUGUUGCCAACAGAUUUUUGAUCUAUGACUACAUGGAAAAGAACAGCAUGACACUGGCCUUCUAGGAGGAUAAGAAAGCAGAAGAAAGUUUAGUUGGAAAAUGAGGAGGGGAAUUUCGUUAGGAGUAGCACGAGGCCUUGCUUUCUCCACGAGGAAAUUGAGCCUCACAUUGUGCACCGUGGCAUCAAAUCUGCCAACAUACUUUUGGAUAAGAAUUUCACGCCGAAGAUUGCGGAUUUCUGUUUGGCAAAGCUGUUUAUGGACAAUACAUCUCAUGUGAGCACUCUCUUCUCAUGUGAGCACUCUCUUGGUAGGCACAUUGGGAUAUCUUGCUCCAGAAUAUGCAGUUUCUGGUCAUUUGACGAGGACAUCAGACGUAUAUAGUUAUGGGAUACUGCUAUUGCAUAUUAUUAGGGGACACGAAGUUGUAGAAUUCAACUUAGAACAAGGAGAUCAUACUUAGUUGACAAGGUAAUGUAUUAUUAAUGUCUAAUUUUCCAUCAAAUAAAACUGAAACAAAAGAGAUGUUUAAUGCUUCGUAUUAAAAAAUUCAUGAAUUAUGUUUGGAAGGAGUAAAAAUUUGACAACCUUCAACACCUGUUCGACCCCUCACUCGAUUAAGAGUAUAUAGAUGAAGCUAAUGAACUGCUAAAACUUCUUGAAUUUCGCUUUACGCCCUCUUGCAAGCAUAUUAAGGAGCAGCUAACUGGAUAUUGAUUGAAGUUUUUUUGAGAAGAAAUGAGCAGAUUUGUUCCUCUAGAACUAGUCACGAAUGAAUUAUAAGUUGGAAUUAUAUCUGUUGUAAUAGAACACUCAUUACUAUGUAAUGUGGUACAUGUACUAUAAAAUACUUCUAUGAAAUUAAAAAAAAAAAUUG